rnacentral:rRNA from 1 species
GUUCAUGCUUUUACAGUAUGAAAAUUGGUGAUUUAUAAUAACUUAGCAAAUCGCAAAGUGAAAACAGGCGAUAAAUCAUUCAAGUUUCUGACCUAUCAGCUUUCGACGGUAUGGUAUUGGCUUACCGUGGCAGUGACGGUUAACGGGGGAUUAGGGUUCGAUUCCGGAGAGGGAGCCUGAGAAACGGCUACCACAUCUAAGGAAGGCAGCAGGCGCGCAAAUUACCCAAUUCUAACAGUUUGAGAGAGGUAGUAACAAGAAAUAACAAUACAAGGCAGUUAAAAUGCUUUGUAAUUGGAAUGAUAGAAAUUUAAACCCUUUUUAAAGUAUCAAUUGGAGGGCAAGUCUGGUGCCAGCAGCCGCGGUAAUUCCAGCUCCAAUAGCGUAUAUAAAAAUUGUUGCAGUUAAAAAGCUCGUAGUUGAAGUUCUGCUGAAAGUAACCGGUCUGCUUUUAAUAAAAGUGGUAUCUUGGUAUGUAUUUAGCAAUGAUGUCCUUUGAAGUGUUUUUUACUUUAUUGUAAUAAAGCAUAUUCAGGACUUUUACUUUGAGAAAAUUAGAGUGUUUCUAGCAGGCUAACGCUUUGAAUACUGCA